GUUGUCGGUAGGUUCCUUGUUCUAAUAUAGAUGGAGGCAGUUUGUGUUAGUUGUGUGAUGUUGUCGGUAGGUUCCUUGUUCUAGUAUAGAUGGAGGUAGUUUUUGUUGGUUGUGUGAUGUUGUCGAUAGGUUCCUUGUUCUAAUAUAGAUGGAGGCAGUUUGUGUUGGCUGUGUGAUGUCAGUAGGUUCCUUGUUCUAGUAUAGAUGGAGGUAGUUUGUGUUAGUUGUGUGAUGUCAGUAGGUUCCUUGUUCUAGUAUAGAUGGAGGUAGUUUGUGUUAGUUGUGUGAUGUUGUCGGUAGGUUCGUUGUUCUAAUAUAGAUGGAGGCAGUUUGUGUUGGUUGUGUGAUGUUGUUGGUAGGUUCCUUGUUCUAAUAUAGAUGGAGGUAGUUUGUGUUAGUUGUGUGAUGUUGUCGGUAGGUUCCUUGUUCUAGUAUAGAUGGAGGUAGUUUGUGUUGGUUGUGUGAUGUUGUCAGUAGGUUCCUUGUUCUAGUAUACAUGGAGGUAGUUUGUGUUGGUUGUGUGAUGUUGGUAGGUUCCUUGUUCUAAUAUAGAUGGAGGUAGUUUGUGUUGGUUGUGUGAUGUUGGUAGGUUCCUUGUUCUAAUAUAGAUGGAGGUAGUUUGUGUUGGUUGUGUGUUGUUGUCGGUAGGUUCCUUGUUCUAAUAUAGAUGGAGGUAGUUUGUGUUGGUUGUGUGAUGUUGUUGGUAGGUUCCUUGUUCUAGUAUACAUGGAGGUAGUUUGUGUUGGUUGUGUGAUGUUGUUGGUAGGUUCCUUGUUCUAGUAUAGAUGGAGGUAGUUUGUGUUGGUUGUGUGAUGUCGGUAGGUUCCUUGUUCUAAUAUAGAUGGAGGUAGUUUGUGUUGGUUGUGUGUUGUUGUCGGUAGGUUCCUUGUUCUAAUAUAGAUGGAGGUAGUUUGUGUUGGUUGUGUGAUGUUGUCGGUAGGUUCCUUGUUCUAGUAUAGAUGGAGGUAGUUUGUGUUGGUUGUGUGUUGUUGUCGGUAGGUUCCUUGUUCUAAUAUAGAUGGAGGUAGUUUGUGUUGGUUGUGUGAUGUGUUGUUGGUAGGUUCCUUGUUCUAGUAUAGAAGGAGGUAGUUUGUGUUGGUUGUGCGAUGUUGUUGGUAGGUUCCUUGUUCUAGUAUAGAUGGAGGUAGUUUGUGUUGGUUGUGUGAUGUUGUUGGUAGGUUCCUUGUUCUAGUAUACAUGGAGGUAGUUUGUGUUGGUUGUGUGAUGUUGUCGGUAGGUUCCUUGUUCUAAUAUAGAUGGAGGUAGUUUGUGUUUGGUGUGUGAUGUUGUUGGUAGGUUCCUUGUUCUAGUAUAGAUGGAGGUAGUUUGUGUUGGUUGUGUGAUGUUGGUAGGUUCCUUGUUCUAAUAUAGAUGGAGGUAGUUUGUGUUGGUUGUGUGAUGUCAGUAGGUUCCUUGUUCUAGUAUAGAUGGAGGUAGUUUGUGUUGGUUGUGUGAUGUUGUUGGUAGGUUCCUUGUUCUAAUAUAGAUGGAGGUAGUUUGUGUUAGUUGUGUGAUGUUGUCAGUAGGUUCCUUGUUCUAGUAUAGAUGGAGGUAGUUUGUGUUGGUUGUGUGAUGUCAGUAGGUUCCUUGUUCUAGUAUAGAUGGAGGUAGUUUGUGUUGGUUGUGUGAUGUUGGCAGUCUCCAUGUUCUAAUAUAGAUGGAGGCAGUUUGUGUUGGUUGUGUGAUGUUGUCGGUAGGUUCCUUGUUCUAAUAUAGAUGGAGGUAGUUUGUGUUGGUUGUGUGAUGUUGUUGGUAGGUUCCUUGUUCUAAUAUAGAUGGCGGUAGUUUGUGUUGGUUGUGUGAUGUUGACAGUAGGUUCCUUGUUCUAAUAUAGAUGGAGGUAGUUUGUGUUGGUUGUGUGAUGUUGUCAGUAGGUUCCUUGUUCUAGUAUAGAUGGAGGUAGUUUGUGUUGGUUGUGUGAUGUUGUUGGUAGGUUCCUUGUUCUAGUAUAGAUGGAGGUAGUUUGUGUUGGGUGUGUGAUGUUGUCGGUAGGUUCCUUGUUCUAGUGUAGAUGGAGGUAGUUUGUGUUGGUUGUGUGAUGUUGGUAGGUUCCUUGUUCUAAUAUAGAUGGAGGUAGUUUGUGUUGGGUGUGUGAUGAUGUUGGUAGA